rnacentral:rRNA from 1 species
UACGUAGGGACCAAGCGUUGUUCGGAUUUACUGGGCGUAAAGGGCGCGUAGGCGGCGCGGUAAGUCACUUGUGAAAUCUCUGAGCUUAACUCAGAACGGCCAAGUGAUACUGCAGUGCUAGAGUGUGGAAGGGGCAAUCGGAAUUCUUGGUGUAGCGGUGAAAUGCGUAGAUAUCAAGAGGAACACCUGAGGUGAAGACGGGUUGCUGGGCCAACACUGACGCUGAUGCGCGGAAAGCCAGGGGAGCAAACGGG